GUAUAUAUAGGUAAUCGGGUGUGCGGGUUGUGAUAAGGUGGACUUAAAGUGAAGUGCAAGAAACCAAAUCAUUUAAGUCCACCUUAUCACAACCCGCACACCCGAUUACCUAC